rnacentral:rRNA from 1 species
GACGAACGCUGGCGGCGUGCUUAACACAUGCAAGUCGAACGAAGUGGCGAACGGGUGAGUAACGCGUAAUCAACCUGCACUUCAGAGGGGAACAACAGUUGGAAACGACUGCUAAUACCGCAUACUGAGGGAGGGGUUUGCGUGUGAUUAGCUAGUUGGAGGGGUAACGGCCCACCAAGGCGAUGAUCAGUAGCCGGGCUGGAGGGAGGAACGGCCACAAUGGGACUGAGACACGGCCCAGACUCCUACGGGAGGCAGCAGUGGGGGAUCUUCCGACAUGGACGAAAGUCUGACGGAGCAACGCCGCGGGAGUGAUGACGGCCUCCGGGUUGUAAAGCUCUGUUAAUCGGGACGCGGUACCGGAAUAGAAAGCCACGGCUAACUACGUGCCAGCAGCCGCGGUAAUAC